ACUGAGAUACGGCCCAGACUCCUACGGGAGGCAGCAGUAGGGAAUUUUGCGCAAUGGACGAAAGUCUGACGCAGCAACGCCGCGUGAGGGAUGACGGUCUUCGGGUUGUAAACCUCUGUUGGAUGGGAAAAAAUGGUAGCAAUACUUUGAUGGUACCAUUCGAGUAAGCACCGGCUAACUACGUGCCAGCAGCCGCGGUAAUACGUAGGGUGCAAGCGUUGUUCGGAAUCACUGGGCGUAAAGGGAGUGUAGGCGGGAUCGUAAGUUAGAAGUUUAAUACACGGGCUUAACCCGUGGCCUGCUUUUAAUACUGCGGUUCUUGAGUAUGGGAGAGGGCGAUGGAAUUCCAGGUGUAGCGGUGGAAUGCGUAGAUAUCUGGAAGAACACCAGUAGCGAAGGCGGUCGCCUGGCCCAAUACUGACGCUGAUGCUCGAAAGCUAGGGGAGCAAACAGGAUUAGAUACCCUGGUAGUCCUAGCCGUAAACGAUGAACACUAGUUGCCGGGGGAGUCAAUCUUUUCGGUGACGAAGCUAACGCAUUAAGUGUUCCGCCUGGGAAGUACGCCCGCAAGGGUGAAACUCAAAGGAAUUGACGGGGGCCCGCACAAGCGGUGGAGCAUGUGCUUUAAUUCGAUGCAACGCGAAGAACCUUACCUGGACUUGACAUGGGGGUGAAAGGUUUCAGAGAUGGAAUCCCUUCCGCAAGGAACACCCUACACAGGUGCUGCAUGGUUGUCGUCAGCUCGUGUCGUGAGAUGUUGGGUUAAGUCCCGCAACGAGCGCAACCCUCGUCCUUAGUUGCUAACAGGUUACGCUGAGAACUCUAAGGAGACUGCCUGGUUUAACCAGGAGGAAGGUGGGGAUGACGUCAAAUCCUCAUGGCCCUUACGUCCAGGGCUAGACACGUGCUACAAUGGCCGGUACAACGGGCAGCAAGUCGGUGACGACAAGCUAAUCCCUUAAAACCGGUCUCAGUUCGGAUUGAAGUCUGCAAUUCGACUUCAUGAAGCUGGAAUCGCUAGUAAUCGCGGAUCAGCAUGCUGCGGUGAAUACGUUCCCGGGCCUUGUACACACCGCCCGUCAAGCCAUGAAAGAUGGCAGUACCCGAAGUCGCUUCUCUAACCCGCAAGGGAAGAGUGCGCCGAAGGUAAGGCUGUUGAUUGGGGCUAAGUCGAAACAAGGUAGCUGUAUCGGAAGGUGCGGCUG
rnacentral:rRNA from 1 species